GGGCUCUGCCGGCAGCCUCGGCGCGUUCAUCCUCCGAGGAGCAGGCUGGAGCUGGAGCGGGAGCAGCGCGGCCAUCCGAUCCGCACAGGUUUUUAGGUAGUCACAAGGGCGAACAGAGACAAAUCAUUGAAGAUUGACACUGGAAGCUGUGGUAAAUGUCUAACAAUACUCCAGCAGAACACAGCUGGGUGAAUACAACACUGCCUGACAGAGAUGUCAUGUGAUGCAUACUCAAAAAAGCAUUGCUUUUGUCACUAGCUAAGAAAGAACCAUUCUUCAGAGAAGGAAACAUCAUUCAAUAAUAAUAGUAAUAAUGAUUAAUAAUAACAAUAGGAGCAAGAACAAUAGCAAUACAUUUGCUUGAAUUCCUGAACAUUUAACUGCCACGUCACAUAAAGGCACAGAUGAAGCUGAACGAGCUGUGGACUUUAUGCUGCAUUUUAGGUGCCAGGCACUUGGUUAUACAUUGCAUAUCCAAGCUGUUCCCCUAAUUCUAUUCCAUCUGCACAUAUCAUCUGCACAUAUCUCUGUGAACUUCUUGACCAAAAAAAAAAAAACAAAAAACCCAACCAAAACCAAAAACAAACAAACAAAAAAUCCCAGCCCAACAAAAAAAAAGCACUAAACAACUGAACUGCUCACAGUUCGACUUUGGCAUGCAGAAACAAGAAAACGGAAAGAAGAGAUUUCUGUUCAGUUGAGAAUGAGAGGUCUCAGUUCAAAGAGCUUCCAUCAGGCUUCAGACAGUCCUGAUGCCUUUGGCUUUAUUGGGACAGUUAGCAUGAGGGAAAGGCUAGAGGAUCUCACAUUAAUCCUCUUGCUCUCUAUAAGCUUCAAAGUGUAUCAGUUACUUGAGUUGCUUUUAAUUUGUCCUAAUUAAUCUUCUGCAGUGUGAUAUUGUGCCAUAAUAUCUUAAGUCAGCUAUACAGUUCGUAAGCUGAAAUGUACAGUAGAAUCUUGUAUUGCCUUGGAGUGCCUCAUUUGGUUGGUAGACAAUCAAUUUAUUAUUAAGUGUGAUUGGUAUCUUGUACAUCCUUGCAAGGUAAAUCAAAAGUAAUGGAGUGUAAAAAUAUUCCAGCAUAAGAAAAUCUGUAAACUACAAGCCAGCAAGCUGUAAUCAUCACAAAAAA